rnacentral:lncRNA from 1 species
CUGAGCCACAUCCAGAAACCCUUACUCAAGCAAAACUUACAUGGCAGUCAAGACUGUUCGGCUCGGCAACUCUGAGAAAUCAGUGAGCUAGAGAACGGCUCAAAGUGCCACAUUUAUAUCUGCAUUUUGAACAACCUUACGUCUGGUGAGGGUUGGAGAUCUGGAGAUGAGUUCUGGCCCAUUUUACACCACCUCUUACAGAUGUUGCCUCAGUUCCCAAAACAAAGUGGAAUGAGGCUAUGGUUGCCUCUGGGGCUGGAGUCAGAUAUGUUAAAGGCUGCCACUGUGAAAAGUGUUCAGCCUCUUCAAUGGGUAUCCUGUGUGAACGGCUAAAAAUCUCAGAAAUGGCUGGAAGACAAAAACAACAAACAUGUAAAUAUGAUGAAAGGCUUCUGUUUUGUCCAUUUAUGACAUUCCUAUAUAACGCCUUAGUGGUAUAUGCCAUUGUUACAGAAAGAAUAAAGACAGUCCCUGUUGCAGUGAACCUACAGGUCAGAGAGAGAUGACAACAGCAAGAGGAAAGGAAGUUUACACACAACAUGGUUGAUGGAUAUAUACAUCACUAAUUCCCAUUCUAAAAAAGUUAAUUUUUUCUUCUUCUUAGACUGUUGUGGGAACAUGGGACACUGUAAGAGGAAAAAGGGAUUUUGAGAUGGGAUCUGAAGGAGCAGAGGGAGACUGCAUGACCUACUGUAUCAGGGAAGAGAUUGCAGACAUCUGAAGAAACAUGGGGAAAAGCACCAAGGCACUUUGUGGGAAAGGGGUAAACAGUACCAUGUGGAGAAGCAGAACUAGUGCAAAGUAUGUAUCAAGCAGGAGAGUGGCAGGAGACAAAAGUGAACAGUAAGCAGAGGCAGAACUGUGUAAAAUAUGAGUAGACUGAAUGUGGUGCCAAGUUGCAGAGCCAGUGAAGAGCCUGAGAAGCGAUGAUGUGGUCAAAGCAGUGGAAGAUGAUAGUUUGGCAGCAAUGUUUUGGAUAAACUUGAGGGUUAGAAAGUGGAAGUCAGAUAGGCCAGAGAGCAGGAGAUUGCAGUGGAGCUGACAGAUUACCCCAGUCACGGUAAGGAUUUUGAUAGUUGAGAUGUGGAGGAAGGGAGAGGCAUUUGAGAUGUUAUGGUGAAAGAAGUGAAACACUUGAGCGACAACCUGAAUGUGAGAUGUGAAGGGGAGAGAGAGGUGUUCGAGACUGUAGUGAAGUUGUGGGAAUUUUCUAACAUGAAAAUGAGAAAAAUUAGUGAGGAGAUUUUUGUGGAGGAGAAGUCGUCUGAACUAGCAGAGGAGCAUUUGGGGAGAGAUGUCAGAGGAGGUGUUGUGGAUGUGAGACUGAGCAGAGAGAGGUGAGUUUGUAGCUGAGCUGAGUUUUGUUUUUAGAUUUCCACUAAUCUGGUGGCCAAGAGUUUAUCUUCACUAAAAUUGCACCUGUCAUUUGGUGUGGACAGGCCAGCCUAGCAAGUUUUACAAUUUCAUAAUCAGUUAAUGAGUAUAAUCGCCUUCCAAUAUGUGGUA